rfam:Tupaia belangeri cont1.027906, whole genome shotgun sequence.
GUGAGGGGCCGGGCAAAUGGAGGGAGGGGAGAGGACGGGGGAGCUUGCGCCCCAGGAGCGAAGCAAACAGCUGUGGAGGCGCUGCCCAGGGCUCAAGCUUCCGAACAGGUUAGCUAGACUGGGAUCCACCCGGUAAUUCACAGGAGGGGGGGAGACAGAGGGAGAGGGGGAGAGAGCCUCACUAGAGGACAGAGGGAGGGAGGGCGAGAG